rnacentral:rRNA from 1 species
CGGCAUGCCUAACACAUGCAAGUCGAACGAGACCUUCGGGUCUAGUGGCGCACGGGUGCGUAACACGUGGGAAUUUGCCUCGGGGUAUGGAAUAACUCAGGGGAACUUGAGCUAAUACCAUAUAAUGUCUUCGGACCAAAGAUUUAUCGCCCUGAGAUAAGCCCGCGUAGGAUUAGCUAGUUGGUGGGGUAAAGGCUCACCAAGGCGACGAUCCUUAGCUGGUCUGAGAGGAUGAUCAGCCACACUGGGACUGAGACACGGCCCAGACUCCUACGGGAGGCAGCAGUGGGGAAUAUUGGACAAUGGGCGAAAGCCUGAUCCAGCAAUGCCGCGUGAGUGAUGAAGGCCUUCGGGUUGUAAAGCUCUUUACUCGGGACGAUAAUGACGGUACCGAGAGAAUAAGCCCCGGCUAACUCCGUG